UUACCACCACAACAGGAAUUUGGAAUUCCAAUAGAAGACAUCUGCAAUAGGCAAAAUACUAAGAACAUGACACAAUUAUUACAAACAUUGGACCCUAACUUCUACCAAGGCUAUGAUUUGAUGUCUUCAAGUUCAAUAGCACAACAACAUGCAUCAAUAAGUUUUGUCCAAG